rnacentral:lncRNA from 1 species
GCAAAUAGAGUGUCUGAAGCUCUACAAAUUUAGUUAGUAAAGGAAAAGUGGCAUCCCGUUAAAGAAAUUUUAUAUUUUGGAGGGUUCUUCUUGUAUUCUUUUCUUGGUUCGCCAACAAAUUUUGUUUGUUCUAAUUCAAAGUUAUGAUUCUUACACUUGUUUCUGUACAUGGAUCACACCUGUUUACUUCCUUUUAUCUUUUAAAGUUUCCCUUUUGUGCUUUUGGUGUUUUCUUGUAGUUAGAGAUAGCGAUUGAACGGGUACAGGUGCCCAUACUGCUACUGACUCACUAUUUAUCCAGCAUCAGGGAUUGAAAAAAUUUGUAGGUCGUUUCUAUAUCCGUGAAUAUGUACAGAACUUUUUUAAUUUUUUUAAAAUUUCAAAUAAAAUUGUUUAAGAAUAACUUGAUUUUUAUCAAGUGAGGUCCUAUUGAAAAGCAUCAUUUCUUUUGAC